rnacentral:tRNA from 1 species
GCCGGGGUGGCCGAGCGGACUAAGGCGGCGGACGCCCCAUCCGCUGCCCCUCUGGGGCGCCCGGGUUCGAAUCCCGGCCCCGGCGCCA